CAAUGUGAUUAAAUGAUCGUAAAAAAUAAUAUAAAAAAGGGACAAAAAAGUAAAAAAAAAAAACAAAAGACAGACCAAUAAAUGACAGCCAAUUACGAUCCGCGUAUGCUAUAAUCCAUAGCUUUCACGUUCAGUUACAUAAGUUAAUCUGUCAGGGGAGCUUUUCCAUCUAGUGCUCGUACCACUCAUGGGGUUCCGCCACGUGUUGCCGGUGACAUUGGCUAUUGGGUGACGGCAGCUUAACGCAAAAAUUC
rnacentral:lncRNA from 1 species